GGUGAUAGAGUUAGGGAGGGAGUGACUAGUGACAGAGUGAGGGAGGGAUGACUAGUGACAGAGUGAGGGAGCGGGUGACACAGUGACAGAGUUAGGGAGGGAGUGACUAGUGACAGAGAGAGGGAUGGGGUGACUAGUGACAGUCACCCCCUCCCUCCCUCUGUCACUAGUCACUCCCUCCCUCUGUUACUAGUCACUCCCUCACUCUGUCACUCUGUCACCAGUCAUCCCCUCACUCUGUCACCAGUCACCCCUUCCCUCCCUCACUCUGCCACUAGUCAUCUUUUCCCUCCCUCACU